AAGGCACCCGCAGCCUCUCAAACGGGACAGCCGCCCCGCAGCCUCUCAAACGGGACAGCCGCCCCGCAGCCUCUCAAACGGGACAGCCGCCCCGCAGCCUCUCAAACGGGACAGCCGCCCCGCAGCUGGAGACACACCGCACACGGGACAUGGAGCUGCAGUCACAAGAUUUUUCCCUAGUUCUUGAUGGCCGAUCACACCUGGUGUGCCCAGCAGACCGGCAGCGCCGUUGUCCUGUAAUCUGCCUCUGGGCCUGCAAAGACAGGCCCCUCUCCCAGAAAGAUGCCUCAGUGCUCCAGGCAAACGCAGGAGGGUCCUGAAAACCAUCACCCUACGCUGCAGGCUGUAUAACUCCUAACAGCCCUGCUCUCGCCUGGCGGCUCCCGAGCCCAAAGCAGCGGCAGGCUGGCCAGAGGAGAUGUACAUGCCGUUGACUCCAGCAUAAAAAGGCCUUCCAGCGAAUCCUGGCACCUGACUGACAUCACAUGAUCACAACUCCCUCCUCGCCUCGGAGGCGAGCAAGGAAAUCACUG